AUCGGUUCUCGGCCUUUUAGCUAAGAUUGAGUGUAGUCUGUUCCUGUCGUUGAACAUCUGAUUUAUUCUCUCUCAGGUCAGAACGGUAGAAUAACUGGAAUUUUGGAGCAGGGAGAUAGAAAAGGAGCUUGCUUCACUCACUCCACCUGGUAAUGUAGUACCUCCAGGAUCACUGCAC
rnacentral:snRNA from 1 species